rnacentral:rRNA from 1 species
UGAGGAAUAUUGGUCAAUGGUCGGGAGACUGAACCAGCCAAGCCGCGUGAAGGAAGAAGUAUCUCGGUAUGUAAACUUCUAUCAGCAGGGAAGAAAAUGACGGUACCUGACUAAGAAGCCCCGGCUAACUACGUGCCAGCAGCCGCGGUAAUACGUAGGGGGCAAGCGUUAUCCGGAUUUACUGGGUGUAAAGGGAGCGUAGACGGCAUGGCAAGUCUGAAGUGAAAGCCCGGGGCUCAACCCCGGGACUGCUUUGGAAACUGUCAGGCUAGAGUGCUGGAGAGGUAAGUGGAAUUCCUAGUGUAGCGGUGAAAUGCGUAGAUAUUAGGAGGAACACCAGUGGCGAAGGCGGCUUACUGGACAGUGACUGACGUUGAGGCUCGAAAGCGUGGGGAGCAAACAGGAUUAGAUACCC